rnacentral:rRNA from 1 species
UACGUAGGGUGCAAGCGUUGUCCGGAAUUAUUGGGCGUAAGGAGCUCGUAGGCGGUUUGUCGCGUCUGCUGUGAAAACCUAAGGCUCAACCUUGGGCUUGCAGUGGGUACGGGCAGACUAGAGUGCGGUAGGGGUGACUGGAAUUCCUGGUGUAGCGGUGGAAUGCGCAGAUAUCAGGAGGAACACCGGUGGCGAAGGCGGGUCUCUGGACCGAUACUGACGCUGAGGAGCGAAAGCGUGGGGAGCGAACAGG